GACGAACGCUGGCGGCGUGCUUAACACAUGCAAGUCGAACGGAAAGGCCCUGCUUUUGUGGGGUGCUCGAGUGGCGAACGGGUGAGUAACACGUGAGUAACCUGCCCUUGACUUUGGGAUAACUUAAGGAAACUGGGGCUAAUCCCGGAUAGGAGCUCCUGCUGCAUGGUGGGGGUUGGAACGUUUCGGCGGUUGGGGAUGGACUCGCGGCUUAUCGGCUUGUUGGUGGGGUAGUGGCUUACCCAGGAUUUGACGGGUAGCCGGCCUGAGAGGGGGACUGGGCACAUGAGGACUGAGAGACGGCCCAGACGCCUACGGGAGGCAGCAGUGGGAAAUAUUGCACAAUGGGCGGAAGCCUGAUGCAGCAACGCCGCGGGCGGGAUGACGGCCUGCGGGUUGUAAACCGCAGUCGCCUGAGACGAAGCGUGAGCGACGGUAAUGGAUAAAGAAGCACCGGCUAACUACGUG
rnacentral:rRNA from 1 species